rnacentral:sRNA from 1 species
CUAAAAGGACAGAACCGGCCCAAUCCACAGGACCGUGUGGUGACUCUGUAAAAGACUGGAACUGGCUAGGGUUUUCUUUAGUUUCUAGAGAAGUGCAGCGGCUUGUUUUUGCGUUGGAUCGUCCGCAGCGAAAAUGGUAAGAGUGGAAUCCAUGGUCGUUUGUUUUGUGAAUUGUUUGAAGUUUUUCGAUUGUGACGUGAAGCUAUUGAUUUGAUGUGUAGCCUUCCCACAAGACGUUCAGGAUCAAGAAGAAGCUUGCCAAGAAGAUGAGGCAGAACAGGCCCAUCCCUUACUGGAUCCGCAUGAGGACUGACAACACUAUCAGGUCAGUUUCCAAAAACUUCCUAGGAUUUUCAGGAUUAUGUUUCUUGAUUUCGUGUAUUCACACCCUGCCAUUCUUGUCUUUUUAUUUUUGUUUGUGUUUUCAGGUAUAAUGCAAAGCGCAGGCACUGGCGCCGCACCAAGCUCGGAUUUUAAGUUGGAUGGACGACCCUUGCGUUCUAGGUUUUUUAGUGAAACUAUUGGAACUUGAAUUCUGUCUACGAAGUGCAUUCCUGUUAAAAAAGUUCUACAUUAAAAACCAACUCCAAUGCAUCAUGUUUUCCUUAGAGAGUGAACCGGUCAAGAACGAAGAAUGACAUUGGGAACCUUAUAUUUUCGUUGAGCAGAUAAAGUGAUCGUGUUCCAAUUCCAACUAGUUAAAGCAUGUGUUGUUUAAGUGACAACGUCAAGUUUUGUUCGUUACGUUUUAAUGUUGGAACUAACGUUGGGUUAGGGGUGAUCAAGAAAUCAUUAGAAUGAAGGACUAAUUUCUUAAUGGAAGAAAUUACUACGUGAUUG